UACGGGGGGGGCAAGCGUUGUUCGGAAUUACUGGGCGUAAAGGGCGCGUAGGCGGCCUGCUAAGUCGGAUGUGAAAUCCCUCGGCUCAACCGAGGAACUGCAUCCGAUACUGGCGGGCUUGAAUCCGGGAGAGGGAUGUGGAAUUCCAGGUGUAGCGGUGAAAUGCGUAGAUAUCUGGAGGAACACCGGUGGCGAAGGCGGCAUCCUGGACCGACACUGACGCUGAGGCGCGAAAGCGUGGGGAGCAAACAGG
rnacentral:rRNA from 1 species